GAUUGUUUACAAAUGUCUCAAAUCUCUUAUAAAACCAAUUUGUGGGCACGGCUUCUCAAUCUCCCUCUGCCUUUUACCACCUUGAGUCCCUGCACAGAUAUCCUCAAUAGGUCCAUGGCAGCUCAUAUUCUGAUAGGAUCAAAGAGUGCCUCAUUUACUUCUUCACUCUUGACCUGUCACAGCAAGGGAUGA
rnacentral:lncRNA from 1 species